AACGCGAAGAACCUUACCAGGGUUUGACAUCCUGCGAAUCUCUUGGAAACGAGAGAGUGCCUUCGGGAGCGCAGUGACAGGUGGUGCAUGGCUGUCGUCAGCUCGUGUCGUGAGAUGUUGGGUUAAGUCCCGCAACGAGCGCAACCCACGUCUUUAGUUGCCAGCAUUUAGUUGGGCACUCUAGAGAGACCGCCGGUGAUAAACCGGAGGAAGGUGUGGAUGACGUCAAGUCAUCAUGCCCCUUACAUCCUGGGCUACACACGUACUACAAUGCUACGGACAAAGAGCAGCAAGUUCGCGAGGACAAGCAAAUCUCAUAAACCGUGGCUCAGUUCAGAUCGUAGGCUGCAACUCGCCUACGUGAAGGAGGAAUCGCUAGUAAUCGCAGGUCAGCAUACUGCGGUGAAUACGUUCCCGGGCCUUGUACACACCG
rnacentral:rRNA from 1 species